rnacentral:tRNA from 1 species
GGCGGCGUAGCUCAGAGGUAGAGCGGACGGCUCAUAAUCGUUAGGUCACUGGUUCGAAUCCAGUCGCCGCCACCA